rfam:Methylocaldum sp. 175 genome assembly, contig: JC06DRAFT_unitig_0_quiver.5
GUCCCCAUCGUCUAGAGGCCCAGGACACCGCCCUCUCACGGCGGCGACGGGGGUUCGAAUCCCCCUGGGGACG